rnacentral:lncRNA from 1 species
UUUUUGUUUUUGUUUUUUGUUUUGUUUUGUUUUUUGUUUUGCUUCUGAGGUUUUCACCAGCUUAGAAACUGAUACAAUGACCCAGAUGGCACUAUACACCUGGUGUUUCUUGUAGCAUACCUGUAAUGGAGAGGUAAACACACCCAUUUCUUCAAGGAAAUGGGAGCCUAGCAUUAGCUGAGGCAUUUUACACAAAGGAGGAGAACAUAUCUGCAGAGAUUGAGGUGUCCAUUGACUUGCUUGCUCAAGAACCCAGAAGAAUCAACUGCAGACUCCAUGUGCAAAAGAGACAGAGCUAUAAGAGGGUGGGGAGUCUUAUGAUAGCACUCUGGCAAGGCAAAUAUCGAUAGUUUCAAAGCUAUUAGCACAGUAAAAACUUUCAGGAUACAGAUGGAACAAUAUGGCCCUUAGUUGUACUCAGAACCCUCUCUUUUCUUGGGCCAUUCUUAUGGGGGUGCUGUGAUAAGAAACACGAUUCAAAAUUUCACAAAAAAUAGUGUCCUAUUUUGAUUUUGAAUACCAGGAAUUUUAUAUCUCUGUGCCUCACCUUCUCCUUCUCCACCUUUGCAUCCCCUACCCCCUCCAUCCCCUGUGUACCCCAGGCACUGAAGGAGACCUUGAGUAUUCAAAAGGUGACUCUCCUCCAACAAGAUGCUAUCCAGCUGUAUCAGUGGGUCUGGGCCUGUGCAUCAUCUGCACGCACACCAUCAUGAUUGCCUGCUGGGUUUGCUUCUUGAUUGUCUAUCAAAUCCAGUUUCAGUGUUCACCCCUAUUGAGAUUUAUGUCUCUUCCUGUUUGCUCAAUAUCUGACCUCUCCUGACUCUUUUAUGCCAACACUGGGAGUAAAAUGGAAUAAAGCAGUAAAACAAAACAAAUCAAAUCAUGAACACAAACAUGAAAGCAUUCCCUGAGCUUCCACAGUCAGGGAGUUGGUUAAUAUGAGAAUGCAGCCUCAUGCCCAGAAGAGGAAUCAGUUCUUUGUUAGGACAUCACUUGGGAAAUGAUUUUCCUUUACGGAAGAGUAGCAGAUGUCUACACCCUCACUGUGUCCACAAUGUUGAAGCAGUAGAGCACCCAGCUCAGAGUGAGCCUUCCUUGCCAUUGGUGACAUAGAAUAGUGGUAUAUCUUUUUGUAGAGAAGAGUGGAGGCUGCAAAACCCCACAGAAAGUGGAUGAUAAAUGUUUGAACUUGAAACAAGCACUAAAGCUGAGAACUAUUGGAAAAUAAUCUCAAAGCUCUAAUGAGGACAACUUCCUUAAAAAGCAGAAUUUGGGGGAGAAAAAUAAUAUGGAAAGAAGCAAAGAUUUUUGGUCUUGUGUAGAAGAACUGUCAUCCAUAAGGGUACAGAAAACAACUGUUUUUUUCUGAGCUCUAAUGGAAAAAUGUUCUCACGAUUUAUUUAGACAAGGGGGUAUAUAGAGGAAAUUGAUACCAGAUUUCACUGUGCAUUGUGUAUUGAUACUGAAUACUUGGCAGCGCUCCCAUGCUGUCUCCAAUCUCAACUCAGACUCCCUUUCUUUUACCCUGACAGGUAUAGUAACGGUGUCAGAUGAUGCAGCUGAAGACAGGGCAUGUACAUGUACAAGUUUCUAAGAAGGAAAAACAAGAUCUAUACUGCUAUAAAAAGCUUGUCUGUGCCUGCAACAAAAUUGCUAAGGGUUAAGAACCAAGGAUCAUUUCUGAUUUCUCCCAACAAGGCUGCUGGCAGCUGUAGCUCAAUGACAAACCUUAACUAUAAUUGUGUUCAUCUCCACUUGAUGAAUGAAGAGCCAUUUUGAGUCUAACCCAUCCAACUUUCAAGGUUGAUGCUUCUUUAUGAGCCAUGGCUGGAUCAUAUCACCUUUGAUUCAAAACUCUUCAGAAGCCCCUGUUAACUCUACCUGGCUGUCAAGGUCAUGCUAACCAGGCCCACUAUAAACCUCAAAGUCCUCCUCCUGUCCUCUUCCUCUGUCUAGCUACCUCCCACUUCAACUAACCUGAAUGAGAAUAUCCAUGGGUUCCUGUGCUUAUUUAUUAUUAUUAUUUUUUUUUUUUUUUUUGCUUUCAGGUAUUUCUCUAGCCGGGGUUAUGACUCACCCUCCUCUUGCCUGCAUUUUCAAAUUCCAUCUAACCAGCAUGGCCCAGGUCAAAAGCCUCAUAAAACUAUAGGCAGAAAAUAUCUGCUGCUUCUCUAAAAUUUUUAUGUGUGUUUUUCAUUUGAGGCCUAUGACUAAUUUCCUAUAUCUUUAGUCAUUUGUACACUGGUAUAAUUUAUUCUGAAAACUCAUAAACUUCAUAAAGGCAGGGGUUCUAAAGACUGGCACAAAGUGUGGAAACUAGCAAGUACACAAUAAAAGGUCGUGGAAUAAAAAAAUGCAUAAAUCACUCUUGUUCUCUUUUACAUUCAUAGAGAGGUAUGCAGAAUCAUUAGAGAUAACUUCAUCUAUAUAUCUAUAUAACUGAUACUAUAAUUUUAGAUAUAAAUUCUUUCAACAUUAAGGAUUAAAAAAGAAAAGCCCAGAAAUAUCGUCAAUAUGGCAUCGCCUUCAAGGCUCACACACUCAUGGAGGAAAGCAUGCUCACUAGAGCAGUUACCCAAAGAUGACAUAGUUGGAAGUAGGGUUGUGAUACUACAUGUUGAUAUAUUAUGUAGUUUCUAUAGUGAUAAAUGAACUAUAUUUGUAUUCUUUCCUUAGGAGUCUCUAACAUAAUGUUUUAAAAUAUAUGUUCCUCAUAAUGUUAGUAUUUUGAUACAUCUGUGAAGAAAUGUUAUUGAGCUCAACUAGGUUUGAGAAACUGCAAAUUAUGUCACCCACUUGGAAACUCAUAAUCUAUAGUGAUAUAUUAAAAAGUUUGCAGAAAUUGGAAUCUUUAAAAAGAAUGCUUAAUCUUCAUUAACCUAUUUCCCAACCAUUAUUAUCCUUGGAAUAGUCUUUUUCAGAUAACAGCUCUCUGUAUCUCUCUCUUUUUUAAAAAAGAUUUUAUUUAUUUAUUCAUGAGAGAUACA